rnacentral:RNase_P_RNA from 1 species
CAGGGAGGAUAAGGUGAUCGCGGCGUCGGUCGUUCGCGGCGCGACGUCGAGGAAAGUCCGGGCUCCACAGGGCAGGGUGCUGACGCAGGUCAGUCGGGGAAACCCGAAGGAAAGUGCCACAGAAAGCAAACCGCCCGCGUUCGCGCGGGUAAGGGUGAAAGGGUGUGGUAAGAGCGCACCGGGUCUCGGGUGACCGAGAUCGCACGGUAAACCCCACCUGGAGCAAGGCCGAGCAGGGACGCGCCAACCGAACCGCGAGGGGAGGAAGGCGAGGGGUCGCCCGCCCCGUCCCGGGUAGCGCCGCAUAGACGAAUGGUCACCACCCGGGGGAGGAGAUGAACCCGGGGACAGAACCCGGCUUACGACCCCCCUCGACCG